CCUACGGGCGGCAGCAGUGGGGAAUUUUGCGCAAUGCUCGUAAGAGUGACGCAGCGACGCCGCGUGAAUGACGAAGGCCUUCGGGUCGUAAAGUUCUUUCGACAGGGAAGAAAAUGCCUAUAAGUAACUGUGUAUGUAUUGACGGUACCUGUAUAAGCAGCCCCGGCUAACUACGUGCCAGCAGCCGCGGUAAUACGGAGGGGGCGAGCGUUGUUCGGAGUGACUGGGCGUAAAGAGCACGUAGGCGGUGUGGUAAGUCAUUAGUCAAAGACUAGAGCUCAACUUUAGUAAGGCUGGUGAUACUAUAAUACUAGAGUAUCAGAGAGGAUUGCAGAAUUCCUGGUGUAGCGGUGAAAUGCAUAGAUAUCGCGCAGAACGCCGAUUGCGAAGGCAGCGUACCGGCGCCAGACUGACGCGGAGGCACGAAAGCGUGGGGAUCGAACAGGAUUAGAUACCCUGGUAGUC
rnacentral:rRNA from 1 species